rnacentral:tRNA from 1 species
GGUCCUGUGGUCUAGUGGUAUGAUUCUCGCUUAGGGUUUUCCCAGAGCACAUUUGCGAGAGGCCCCGCGUUCGAGUCGCGGCAGGACCC